UACGUAGGGGGCUAGCGUUGCUCGGAAUGACUGGGCGUAAAGGGCGCGUAGGCGGCUUGCACAGUCAGGCGUGAAAUUCCUGGGCUCAACCUGGGGACUGCGCUUGAGACGUGUGGGCUUGAGUGGGGAAGAGGGUCGUGGAAUUCCCAGUGUAGAGGUGAAAUUCGUAGAUAUUGGGAAGAACACCGGUGGCGAAGGCGGCGACCUGGUCCUUGACUGACGCUGAGGCGCGAAAGCGUGGGGAGCAAACAGG
rnacentral:rRNA from 1 species